rnacentral:rRNA from 1 species
UACGGGAAGGGCAAGCGUUAUCCAGCAUGACUGGGCGUAAAGAGUCCGUAGACGGUAAAGCAGGUUUUUUGUUAAAUUUUAAAACUCAAUUUUAAAUAAAGCAAUAAAUACCGUUUUACUUUGAGUCUAUUACAGAAAAGUGGAAUUUGUAUGGUAGGGGUGAAAUCCGUAGAUAUAUAAAGGAACGUCGACAGCGAAGACAACUUUUU